ensembl:ncRNA asRNA:Eig63F-2 antisense RNA:Ecdysone-induced gene 63F 2
AGUGGAUGACUUUACCCCCCGAUGACAGGGAACAAGAGCAUCCAGGGAUCGCCGUUUCCAUCAAGAUCGCUUCAGUUCGGAUGGCUUCUAAGCAGAGACAACCGGAAUUGGACUGUUUACGAGCUCAUUAUCAGCUCAUAAACAUGAAAGCGGCAGCCAGACACAGAUAUGUUAUGAGUUAUUUAUUUAUUGAAAGCAUUUAUUACUAUUUCUCUAAAGGAAAAUGGAAAAAGGAAAACGGGGUAAUAAGCCUUUGGCCAAAACCGUGUGAACGGCUAGCAAGAGAAUUAUGGUGAGAAAUCGGCGAGUUGCUCUUUAUAGAUUUCCAAUGUAAAUAUUUACAAUGUUUAUUUUUAAACCAUAUAUGUACAGAUAUAAUAUAGAUGUUUGUAGUACAUCGCGUAUGCAUGUUAUGAUCGUGCCAGAUAAAUAUUAUGAAACUUUGCUGGGAGCCCAGUGGCGGAUCCCGUGAUUUGCCCUGGACUUUAACGGGGUGUUAAUGACUCUGGGAACGGCGUUUAGCAACUUAAGUUAGUUAUCGGCGGAAGGCAAACAGAAAUGUCGCACUUAACCGGGUCUUAAUGACCCAGCCGUGAUAUCAUCGAUAGACAAACACACGACUGGCGGCCAAACGAAGCGUGAAAAGUGCCCAAGGUCGAGGGGCAAACGAAAAAGCGGAACUCUAACUGGGCAAAAAGCAGGUGCAGUGCCAAACGAAAGCCAAAACGGUUAGCGAAAUCUACGUGCCUACAAAUCCUGCGCACUUACAGCGAGCGGAUUUUCACUGAUAUCCUCUGGGUCCGCAAUCUUGGCCAAUUCGGAACACACACACACACUAAUGGAUUUGCGAUGGAUUCGAAUUCGAAUCCCGAGAGAUUGGGACACGCGACCAAUGGGACUCUUUUUUUAGAACGGAUGGUGCUGUGGCCGCCGCGCCGACACUUUUUGUACUGCGUUGUCUGCAGCGAUCUGCGCCUGUGAUCAGUCACAUAAAUAUGUGUCCACUAACUAACGAGACGCGACCAAGCCCAAAACGAUCAUCGUUUGCGUACACUGCAAGGAAUUUUCAGACGAAAAUGAUUUCAAUAUAACAAUCCAACUACCUUUGGAGCAUUGAAAAUGAACAUAAAUAUGUAGAGUGUAUAAUUCAUGACAAUAUAAUCUUUAAGUGGUUCUGCAUAAUAUCAUCGUGAAAUUCCUCUAAGUGCAUACAUAUUAUAAACAAAUGCUUAAUAAGUAAAUAUCAAAUUACGAUAUAUUUGGUAUAUACUAUUU